GAUGAACGCUGGCGGCGUGCCUAAUACAUGCAAGUCGAACGAAACUUCUUUAUCACCGAGUGCUUGCACUCACCGAUAAAGAGUUGAGUGGCGAACGGGUGAGUAACACGUGGGCAACCUGCCCAAAAGAGGGGGAUAACACUUGGAAACAGGUGCUAAUACCGCAUAACCAUAGUUACCGCAUGGUAACUAUGUAAAAGGUGGCUAUACUACCGCUUUUGGAUGGGCCCGCGGCGCAUUAGCUAGUUGGUAGGGUAAAGGCUUACCAAGGCAAUGAUGCGUAGCCGAAUUGAGAGGUUGAUCGGCCACAUUGGGACUGAGACACGGCCCAAACUCCUACGCGAGGCAGCAGUAGGGAAUCUUCCACAAUGGGCGAAAGCCUGAUGGAGCAACGCCGCGUGGGUGAAGAAGGUCUUCGGAUCGUAAAACCCUGUUGUUAGAGAAGAAAGUGCGUGAGAGUAACUGUUCACGUUUCGACGGUAUCUAACCAGAAAGCCACUGCUAACUACGUG
rnacentral:rRNA from 1 species